rnacentral:rRNA from 1 species
AAAGUCUAACCUGCCCAAUGAAUUUUUAAAUGGCUGCGGUAUUUUGACCGUACAAAGGUAGCAUAAUAAUUAGUUUUUUAAUUGAGAACUGGAAUGAAAGGUUGAACGAGAAAAAAACUGUCUCAAUUUAAUUUAAAUUUGAAUUUUAUAUUUAAGUAAAAAAGCUUAAAUAAUCUUAAAAGACGAGAAGACCCUAUAGAGUUUUAUAUUAUUUUUUAUUUUUAAAAUUAAGGUAUUUUAUUUUAUGAUAAUAAAUUAGUAUUUAAUUGGGGUGAUUAAAAAAUUUAUUAAACUUUUUUUAUAUUUUUACAUUGAUUUAUGAUUAAUUGAUCCA